rnacentral:rRNA from 1 species
GUGGGGGAUAUUGCACAAUGGAGGAAACUCUGAUGCAGCGACGCCGCGUGAGUGAAGAAGUAUUUCGGUAUGUAAAGCUCUAUCAGCAGGGAAGAUAAUGACAGUACCUGACUAAGAAGCCCCGGCUAACUACGUGCCAGCAGCCGCGGUAAUACGUAGGGGGCGAGCGUUGCUCGGAUUGACUGGGCGUAAAGCGCGCGUAGGCGGUCCAUUAAGUGUGCGGUGAAAUUCGGAGGCUCAACCUCCGUCCCGCCGCGCAAACUGAUGGUCUUGAGAUUGGGAGGGGGAUGCGGAAUUCCUGGUGUAGCGGUGAAAUGCAUUGAUAUCAGGAGGAACACCGGCGGCGAAAGCGGCAUCCUGGCUUAUAUCUGACGCUGAGGCGCGAAAGCGUGGGUAGCAAACGGGAUUAGAAACCCCGGUAGUCC